rnacentral:rRNA from 1 species
UACAGAGGGGGCAAGCGUUGUUCGGAAUUACUGGGCGUAAAGGGCGCGUAGGCGGCCCGCUAAGUCGAACGUGAAAUCCCCGAGCUCAACUCGGGAACUGCGUCCGAUACUGGCGGGCUUGAAUCCGGGAGAGGGAUGCGGAAUUCCAGGUGUAGCGGUGAAAUGCGUAGAUAUCUGGAGGAACACCGGUGGCGAAGGCGGCAUCCUGGACCGGCAUUGACGCUGAGGCGCGAAAAGCUAGGGGAGCAAACGGG